GCGACAAGCUAUACAGAUACCGAAUGUUUUACAUUAAGACACCUUCAAUCAUGACAACGUAUCAAGUUGAUUAAAUAGGCCUUGAGGAAGAUAUAUAUUAGACAUGAUACAAAAGCAAAGCAAACGUGGUGUGUGCGUUGACAGCUCACGAAUAUUCAGGAUCCCGCCUCGGUGUCUUCAGGAACACUUCCUGAAGACACCGAGACGGGACCCUGAAUAAUCAGGCACUAGAGUUAAGACGAUCUCAAUCGAAAUAUUUCUGAAGUUCAAGAAGAAACCUGUAACUGCCGGACAAUGUUAUGGUAGCCAACAUUUAGGGUGUGGCCCAUAUAUUUAGAAAGGAAGCAUGUUAAAGCACGACAACUUAUUUAGCCAUGAUAGAUAAACAAGUCUUGCAAUGACACACAGCCACAGAACUGCUGUCAAAUGUUGUUAGUUUGAUGGUCUAAGCUCAUACAAAUGGGACCACCAUGUUCUUACAAAUCGUGUUAACAAUAUGUUUAGUUGGCCAUUCUGCUAUAGUAUCAGCAAAUUGUCCAUCUGAGGAUUACAGAGCGGGAGGAGAAUGUUGCCCUUCAUGCCCUCCUGGAAUGCAUGUUUCUAAGGAUUGUGAAGAGAGAAGCAUGACACAGUGCAGAAAUUGCAGCGAUGGUACUUUCCAACCCGGCCGUAAUAAACAGAAGCAAUGCUCUGCUUGUACAAAGUGUGACGCAGGUCUCGGUCUGAAGGUGAAGAAGUCGUGUUCAUCAACAUCAGAUGCUGUGUGUGAGGUCCUGGAUGGAUUCUUCUGUAGUGACUCUAACGGAGGUGGAUGUAGGGCCGCUCAGAGACACACGGUUUGCCGUCCUGGUUAUUACAUCGUUCAAACAGGAACAGCAGAUAAAGACACAGAGUGCCUUCCAUGUGCUAAUGGUACUUUCUCAAAUGGCACAUCGUCAUGCCAACCCCACACAAUAUAAGUGGAGUUAACUAAUUUAUCACGAUUAAUCAAAGCAUUAUCAUGGGAUUUGGCUGAUCUUUUUUUUAAUCGAUUGACAGCUCACUCUUUAUAUGUGGACUACAUUAAUUGCGAGUUAGACCUGGGCCAUAUAUUAUACGUAUAUUAGUCUGUGUUCUAUUUGAUAGUCCUUAGAUAAAUACAGCAGUCAUUAUCUAUUAAUCAUAAAAAUGGCAUAAUAACAUGUUGCAAAAAUAGAAUUAAAGGGACACUUCAUCCAUUCGCGUUAAGCUUUGUAUUGUUAGAAACACCCGGACACUUCAUCAAUUUGCAUUAAGCUUUGUAUCAUUAGAAAUCCAGUUAUAUUUUUGAAUGGUCUUGCAUGAAUCCCUAAUCUUGCAUAAACCCCACAUUUUUUAAUUGGAGAGAUCCAUAUCUACCUCUCAUACUUCCUGCUUUAAUUGACUCAAAAUGUUGAUUUUUGAGUCAUUUAAAGCAGGAAAUGUAAGGGAGGGGGUCUAAAAAACUACAAGCACUAGUUUGUCAUUUUCAUAGAAAUUUAUGUUACGAUUCGACUACAUAUAUGACCCACUUCAAUACAGAUUCAUGUCUCCACCGGUGAAAUGCUCCUUUAAUGCUUGACAAUAUCUAUAAUUGACUAUUUAGUUAUUUUCCUAGAAGCGGUGUACAGUGAAUUCAGACACAGGUAGAUACAGGUCAUUAGGAACAGGUAGGGGUCAGGCAUCUAGCUCAAGACCCUUCCUGAAGGCCUACGGGAAGGUUGUGGACAUUGGGGAUCGAACCCAGUACCUUUGGACCCGGAGACAAACCCCCAGUCUACUAUCCUCCCCCCAGGAUAGGAUGUACACUACACACCCUCAAACUAAACCUGUUGUUUGGCCCUUCUAAUUUCAGAUGUGAAUCUGAGGGACUGAAACUGAUGAAACCUGGAACUGAUUCAACUGAUUCUGAAUGUGGAGAACAUGGUUCAGAGAGAGGACAUGUGGCAGGAAUAAUAUCAGGAGUCAUACUGGUAAUGGCUUUAAUAAUCAUAAUAGCAUUGCUUUAUAGAAGUCUUUCGAAGAAAAAGGGAAUAGCCGAUACAGACUAUAAUCUUGUACCUACUAGUGACGGUCCUGAACCAACCAGGGACCAACAAGAGCAUACCAUAACGAUCCCUUCUGCCACUAUGCAUGAUGAUCAAGACGAUGACCAGAGUCUGGGUGCAGCCCCUCACUCAAGCCUCACACAUAAUGGAUCUGAGUCAGUCUCAGUCCAUCAGGAGGACCAUCAGCCUGUCCUCAUCAAGAGAGACAAUGGAGCCUCCCAGUCAAUCCCCCUCAGUCUGGGUCCCCCUUCCCCCUCCCAGUCCCCCCCCCUCAGUCUGGGUCCCCCCUCCCCUCCCAGUCCACCCUCCUCAGUCUGGGUCCCCCUCCCCCCCGGUCCACCCUCCUCAGUCUGGGUCCCCCUCCCCUCCC
ensembl:lncRNA